rnacentral:rRNA from 1 species
AUUGAACGCUGGCGGCAGGCCUAACACAUGCAAGUCGAGCGGUAGAGAGAAGCUUGCUUCUCUUGAGAGCGGCGGACGGGUGAGUAAUGCCUAGGAAUCUGCCUGGUAGUGGGGGAUAACGUUCGGAAACGGACGCUAAUACCGCAUACGUCCUACGGGAGAAAGCAGGGGACCUUCGGGCCUUGCGCUAUCAGAUGAGCCUAGGUCGGAUUAGUUAGUUGGUGAGGUAAUGGCUCACCAAGGCGACGAUCCGUAACUGGUCUGAGAGGAUGAUCGGUCACACUGGAACUGAGACACGGUCCAGACUCCUACGGGAGGCAGCAGUGGGGAAUAUUGGACAAUGGGCGAAAGCCUGAUCCAGCCAUGCCGCGUGUGUGAAGAAGGUCUUCGGAUUGUAAAGCACUUUAAGUUGGGAGGAAGGGCAUUAACCUAAUACGUUAGUGUUUUGACGUUACCGACAGAAUAAGCACCGGCUAACUCUGUGC